AUCGACGCCUCUGUCUCCCCGAAGUGAGGGCGCUCGCUGCGGAGCUGGGGGUGGUCUCCUCUUCCCCCCAUCGCGGCCCAGCAACCUGGGGGUCCGCGUGACUUCUCCCUGGCCGGGGGAUGGAGGAUGCGCUCUCCUCUGUCCCUUCAAGGCCUCUUCCUCGUCCCAGGUCGAGUCUCCUCCUUGCUGACCAGGCAUCGCGAGCAGAUGAAUCCUCUGGGCGGUUGUCCCUGUCAGGCUGUCAGGACCUGAUUUUCCCUGGUUCACUAAAGCACCAGAAGGUAUGAAGGCGGAGAGAGGAAACAGGGCAAUGGAAUGAACACUUCUCAAGAAUCUCUCAGGUGCCACGGACUGAGCCAGGUGCCUUCCAUGUGUUAUCUCAUUUUACAGGGCAGGUAACAUUUCUGAAAGGUCAGGCAGCUAAAAAGCAGACAGCUUUCUGGCACAUUAGAGAAACAAAAGAAAUGUUGGAGACUGGAAUGCCUGCUGUGUCAAGGCACCUAAUUAGAAAACAACGUCAGAGUGAAUUUGUCGUGCGAGUCUCCAGCUCUGCCAGAAGAACUAAAAGAAAUGUGUCACCAGAGGAAUCACAAAGUAAAGUCUAUUAUUGUUCUGGGGAUUCUGGGGAUUCGAUGCACAAAUCAGAGGUCUGACAGGGGAUGGGGCAUGUGUUACGUCUUAGUAAUGUGCUAAAUGGUAGUGCUUCCAGAUUCCCCACAGAAUCCUACUGCAGUCAGAGAUCUUGAUGUCGGUUGAACUUAUCUAUUUAUAACGAGGAAACAUUAAGGUAACUCAAACCAACAAAAUAAAACAGGUUGACAGUGACUAAGCAACAACAGAGUGCUAGAUUUAUGUAGAGAUUCUUUCUUUCAAGUUGCUGAGACAUUUCACAAAGGAGAACCGUAGAUUAUCAUCAACUUCCAUUUGGGGACUUAGAAAUCCACCAAAGACAA
rnacentral:lncRNA from 1 species